CAUCUUGUCCCUCUACAUCCAGGCCCUUGCCACUGUUCUCUGUUCAUGGCAUUGGUGCUGCCCAACUGUGACACUCACACGCUAACAAUGACCCGGAUCCACCAGUGACAGCCCUGGGGCAUCUGUUUCUGUCUCUGUCUUUCCAUCAUUGCUGCCUAGAGCUUCUUAGCACCAGCUGAAAACAUUCUUAGUUGAUAAUUCCAAGUCUAAGGCAGAAAACUGAGAGGAUUUUCACCUAUGCUCAUGCUGAUCUCAUCCAUAGGAGAAAUUCAGUUGUGAAGUGGAUCGGUCUCCAGUAACUUAAAAUCAAAAAAGUCAGAGAUGAGCCCCAUUUGACUUUCUGGUAUCUCACUAACUUCUGAAACUGUGAGAGUCUGAAGAGACC